UACGUAGGGUGCAAGCGUUGUCCGGAAUUAUUGGGCGUAAAGAGCUCGUAGGCGGUUUGUCGCGUCUGCUGUGAAAACGCGAGGCUCAACCUCGCGCCUGCAGUGGGUACGGGCAGACUAGAGUGCGGUAGGGGAGAUUGGAAUUCCUGGUGUAGCGGUGGAAUGCGCAGAUAUCAGGAAGAACACCCGUGGCUAAGGGCGGCUCUCUAGUACGGUACUGACGCUGAGACGCGAAAGCGUGGGGAGCGAACAGG
rnacentral:rRNA from 1 species